AAUAGUUAUUGGAAAAUAUGUUAGUAAAAAUCAAAUUUUGAAUAUAUGUAUAUUUUUGAAUAGAUUUUUAAUAUAAAUCAAUUUUAAAUUAUUAUUUUGAUUUGAAUAUAUAUAUCAAGUAACAUAUACCUAUUACUUUUUAAUAUAAUGUAAUGGACUUCAAAUUAUUUUAUUAGCAUAAGCCCAUUAUUUUGUUUCCUAGCUUACCUAUCUAUGUGUCCAAACAAUACUAUUUUUUAACUACUAUUCAUAUUGCCAAACAAUCUCAAUGUGUACUUCAGCUUUAAUAAUAUAGAUAAUGUUACCAAGGACUGGUCUAUUUCAAAUAUUCAAUAAUGUGAAAAAGGCUUAUGUUAUUUUUAAGCACAUGAAAGUUGAUUUUCUCUGAAAUAUUUUUUUAGUAGCUGAAUGUUAGCUUUACAUAUCCAUAGGUAAAUAACCAAAAUGUCUCAGCAUAGAGGAGACACUACUUCCAACUUCUAGCAUGCAAUAAAAUGAAUUAACUAGAGAAGCAAACUAGCUCUCUGGUUAGACAAAAAGGCUUAUGUUAAGUACAUGCAAAUUAAGGUAUUUUGUUUCGCUUAAAAUGUAAUGUUUUGUUAUUUGAAACUUCGCAGCUUUUGAUUGGCGUUUAGACUUUCCUGUGAGGAUUGUCUGUAAAGAGUAUGUCUUGUCUUAGCGCUGUUGGUUGGUAAUAUAUAAUCUUUCAAAACAUUCAUCUUAUGGUAAAUAAUCUUUUGAUUGGAUAUAUAUGUUAAAUCAGAAACUCAAAAGCUAAAUUUUUCUCCAUUGUUAUCCAAAAAUAUAUUCUUACUCUUUCUGUGGUGACUUCAGUUUUCAUUCUUCUUUUACCUCUUCUCCUUGUACAUAGCACCAAAGCCAAACAUAAUAUAUCAUCCAAACUCACUCAGAGGGAGAGACAAUAUUCUCCCGGCAUAAUCAUUUUUGAUUAUCAACUUACUCUUUCACAUUUCCCAUUGCUUGGAAGAAUCUCAUUUCUUUUGAUGGGUUGUUUCCAGUCCAAAGAUGCUGAUCAUGUGAUCACUUCUCCUGAUCAUGUGAUCACUUCUCCUGAUCAUGUGAUCACUUCUCCUGAUCAUCCAUCAGUUCAGCACCAAUUAGAAUCAGGUUGACUCUAGUUUGCUUCUUAGUGGAAGUGUAGAUUAGUUUGUCUUUUGCCUAGUUUUGUCUUAACUCCUGUGUGCGUGUGUUUUAAUGAUUGGGGUGUUGGUGUAAAGUAAGAAUGAGAUGGAAAGUGUAUACCUCUCUAAACUACACUCCAAUAACUCCCCUAAGCCUUUUUUUUUAUGAUGAAACUGUUUUUGUGUUGCAGUAACUGAGGACCAAGUGGAGCAGGAGAGUCAGGUACCAUGUUUCAAACGCUUUGCAUUACGUGAACUGUUCGAUGCAACAAAUGGGUUUAGUGGCAAAUGCAUUGUCCCUGGAGGUGAGAUGCAAGAUCUCAAUCUGGUUUACGGAGGAAUGAUCGAAGGCACUGGUCUCGUCGCCAUCAAGCGACUCUCUAAAUUGACUUGGCCUGAUGCUCAGCAGUUUGUGGUAAGAAUCUUACAAGGGCUAAUUCAGAACUUGAGCUUUUUAUAUUAUGUUCAUUGAUCAUUAAAUGACUAGUCGAAGAUUAAAGCGGUUUAUAUAGUUAAUGUAGAAGUGGAAAAUAAUACAUUAGCUAAUGAUUCUGAAACUGUAGCUACCAUAUAUAUAUAGUUUAAUUAGAUUCUAUUGUAUUUGAAAAACAAAGAUGUUUUGGAACUUUGUUCUGUCUGUUUAUCUUGUCUGAAUUGUAAUAGUUGAUCUUGCGUUGACUACCGUUUUGACUUGUGGAAUCAGGAUCAGGCGACUGCUGUUGGAAAUCUUAGGUCCAAGAGAUUGGUCAAUCUGCUUGGUUAUUGCGUUGAAGGAGGCGAGAGAUUGUUGGUGGCUGAGUAUAUGCCCUAUGGUACUCUCUCAAAGCAUCUUUUUCAUUGUAAGAUGUUCCUCUAAUCUUUUAUCUGACUAUUUCCCUUUUGAUCUUCCCUUAGAGAAUUGAUGCUCUCUUUUGUUGUGUAGGGAACAGACAGGAAAUUCCUUGGGAAAUGCGUGUUCGAGUUGCAUAUUAUAUCGCACAAGCACUUGAUUACUGCAACAUUGAAAGCCAAAAGAUCUAUCAUGAUUUAAGUGCAUCCAGAAUCCUCUUUGAUGAGGACGGUGAUCCUCGUCUAUCAACGUUUGGUCUUAUCAAGAACAGUAGAUACGGAACAAGAUAUAGCACUAACUUGACUUACACUCCACCAGAGUUUUCAGAAACAGGUAAAGAUCUAACAAGUCUACGUCAAGAACAUUAAGGAAAAAAAACUUUCAUGAGAUGAAUCAAACGGAUAUCUUUCCCAUUUUUCAGGUAUAAUCAUUCCUGAAAGUGUGAUUUACCAUUAUGGAAAUGUUCUUGUAGAACUUGUGAGCGGCAAACACAUUCCACCGAACCAUGCUUUUGAUAUCAUAAUGGAGAAAAAUGCGAUGCUACUCAUGGAUUCAUCACUUGAAGGGAGAUUUGAGAGUGAAGACGCGACUAAGCUUCUUAAUCUUGCUUCAAAAUGUCUUCAAAAGAACCCGGAAGAUCGACCUGAUACUGAAUCUCUUAUCUCUGCAGCAGCACCACUACAAAAAUUGGAAGAGGUUAAAGAAUCAUGUAAGAAAUACUCAAAUUUCUUUUACCAAAUAAUUAAUUUUUGUGUGUUUAUGUUCAGAUUUCAUCUCAUUUCUUGAUGGGUCUGCCUAAGAAUCCAGUGUUACUACCAUCCAUGCCUUCUCCUCUCAGAAAGGCUUGUUCUCGGAUGGACCGCACUUAACUGGUUUAAACAAAGAACUUGGGAGAAAGUGCCUUCAGAGACCAGGACUUCACUAACAUAUCUUGAUUAAAUCUUAUUCAAAAGUACUCUAUCCGUUUCAUGUAUGGUCGUUCUGCACUUUAAAUUUUGUUCUAUUUUAAUUUUAUUUUAUAAUUUCAAAACUUAUCUUUAUCAAAAUUUCCAGUUUUAUCCAUAUUGUUAAUACAUUAGUUAGAAACAAAACAUAGCAUUUAGUUGUAACUAGGUGGUUUCUUGUGCAUGCGAAGAAAUGUUUUUAAAAAGUUAUAUUUAAAAAUUAUGUUUUACCUCUUUUAAAAUAAAAACUGAAAUCAUUAAUUAUUAUUUAUUUAAUUUUUCUAUUUAGUUUAAAAAUAUUUUAAUUUACUUUUUAUUUAGUUAAGUUUUAGUUCAAAUUAAGUUAAAAUGAAAAAAGAUACAUUUAUUUUAAAUAGUUAACACUAUAAAUUCAUGUACAUGUUUUUUUUAUACAUUUGUUGGUUAAAAUAUAUUAAUCAAUUAAUUUUAUUAUUGUAUUAUCUUAAUUUGUCAGUCUUAUACGAUGCAUUUUAUAGCGUUUAAAUUCAAAUAAAUUCAAUACUUGAAAACUCAACUAAUCAAAUAUUUAUGCUAAUUAAUAGAUCUAAGUAUAACUUUAAAAGGGCUGUUCGUUUGGUUGCUGCAGGUACCGGCGGCAGCGGCAGCGUCAACAUUCUGCGUCAACUCUUGUUCGUUUCGUUGACGCAGGAAGCUGCGUCUGACGCCGCGUCCGAACGCCGCGUCCGAACGCCGCGUCCGAACGCCGCGUCUUGCGGCUGACGCCGAUAAAACCUGCGGUUGCGACAUAGUAUGCGGCAGCGGCAGCGUCAGCGUCUGCGAAACGGACAACAACUGUCCUCAUUGACGCUGCCGCCGCCGCUGACGCUGACGCUGCCGCCGAAACCUGCGGCAACCAAACGAACAGGGCUAAAAUAUUUAGUUAAAUAUUCAUAGAAUUAUAGAAUUAUGAAUUUUGACCAUUUUUUCGUUAUGAUAUAUUUAAAAUUAAUAUGAUGGCGUAUAUAUAUAUUUAUACUAUCAAUUAUAGUAUUUUCUAAUAAUUUUAAUAAUAAUAAUGUAUAUGAUUUACAGUUAUGAUAUGUAGCCAAAUUUAAUCAUUAUCUCAUUUAAAGAAUCUACUGUUAUGGUAUGUAGUCAAAUUAUUUUUUAUCAACUUAUUUUAAGAAUAUUUCUAAAAUCAAAAUACUUGUCAUUAAAUAUAUGUCAUAAUAAGAUAUAAUAUAUGUCACAUUUCUUACUAGAUCAUGUUAUUAUAUUUUUUUUCAAAAUCAAUGUGAUGAUGACACAAGCAAAUUAAAAAAAAAAAAUUUAACAGUUUAAGAGAUUUUAAUAGGUGUGAGAAAACCUUAAACGAUAUUUAAUAUGAAACAAACACUACAAGAAAUAUCGGUAUUAAUAGCACCCGAAAAAUGCUAUCAUAUCGUUUUCAUAGCGUUUCGAAGAACGCCGUGAUAGCCGCAGCUAUAAUAGACCCCCCCCCCCCCCCCUAGCGUAGCGUUUUUCGCGUGCUGUAACAAUAUACAGAUAUUAUAGCGUUGGCCCUGUGUUAUAUUAUACCUAUUUAUAGCGAUUUCUUUUCGCUAUUUAAAUAUUUUAUGUGGCACUUUUCGUGUGCCAUAAAAUAUUUUGUUAUGACAUUUGUUUUUUGUCAUGGAAUACCUUUUUGUAACUCAGUUUGUUUUGGAUUUUUGAACAUUUAAUAGCAAUUUUUUUGUGCCAUUGAAUAUUAUAAUACAGCGUUUUACUUGUGCUAUAACGUUUAUUUUCAUAGGUAAUACUGAAUAGCUAAUAUUUUCUAUAUUGACACAUUUUUCGGUUUGAUUUACUAUUUUUUUUUAUGGGAUAUAGAAUUGGAAAAUAUUGUAAAAAAAGAAAAUUAAAAAAUAGAAAUUUUAGUAAUUGUAACCAGACUAGAAAUAUGCAAAAAGCACUAUAAUGUGCUGACAAUUGAUUCAUCAUAUAGCAAAAAAACACAUACAUAAACAACAGACAUAAACAACAUACAUAAACAACAAUUAGUAAUGACGGCCAGACUUGGUUCGCGAGGACUGUCCUUGUGCUUGUGGUGGGCGUCUGAAAAGAGAUGAGUUUCUGAACAUUGGGUCGAUGUCUUCUUCAGGUUCCUCAAUGCGUGUCAAGUAGCCAAGAGAGGUUCUGAACUCUGUUCUGGUUAUCUCCUCCACAUCAUUUCCUCCCGAGGACUGUCCUCGUUCUUGUUCUCUGUUGAGUGCUUCUUGUUGUGGUUUUUGUUUUUGGAGUAGUUGUGGUCUCACUCCAGAUGCCGGCAGUGCACAUACGAUGCUCUUCCUUCCUUCCAUUAUAGUUUCUAGACUGUAAAGUUAACACAAGUUAGAACUUUAAUAGAUAUUUGAAUAUGAAUAUCUAAACUGAAAAUGAAAACUUAUUCGAAGAAGAAAUAAUAAAUCGAAGAUGAUAUUUGAAGAAGAAUAAAUGGAAAUCGAGUAUCUCUGACCUUUGAAGAAGUUCCCAACCCAGAUCUGUGAGGGUUCGAAUCUAUAAGGAUCUGUAAGAGUUGUUACCUUUUUAAUUAGAGAAAUAUAUAAUAAUCAUACAGAUGAAAUAAAUCUAGGGUUUAGACUUUAGAGGGCGCAGACCUUUUGAUAUGGAUGAGUUCGAUGGAAACCCAGAGAGAGAAAUCGUGGUCGCUUAAGAGAGAAUCAUGGUUGUUUGAGAUGGAAUCGUGAUGGGUAGACAGUGAUUAGUGGUGGGUCGAGGUGGGCUCGUGGUGUCACAAAGAGAUUUGUGGUGGUUUGAGAUAACUCUCUAACCUAGUUUGCGGUGGGCGUACGUUCUGAGAGAGAAGGAAGGAGAUAAAAGAAAAAACAAUUCUGAACCGUUAGAUUAACAUUUACGAACGGACAAGAUUAUGAUCCUUGCCUUAAAAUAAUCAACCAAUAGGAAGAGAGAACGAGGAUAGCUGAUGGAUGGUGGAUUAUGGGCCUUUGAUCUGAGAUAUCAAUCGAUGGCUAUUAAAAAAAGAAGAGAAAUUAUGUUUCUGGUUAUUUAUAAAUAUUUUUAAAAUUAUCUAAAAUUUGUAAAAAAUAUAAUCAUGAUUCUAAAAUAUAAAUCUAACUUUAGACAUCAAUUUCUAAAUAUAUAAACCACUAAACACUUUAACUACACCAAUAUACCCUAACCCUCAAACUAAACACUACAUAUGCUAACCCUUUCACAAGAAAGAUAAUGUGGAAAGGGAACUACAUCAUGUAUUUUGUGAUUAACAUAUAAUUUUGUCUUAAUGUGUGUUAUAGUUUCUUUAAAACGACCUCAAAACUAUGAUUAGAAUAAACCUUAAAAGAAAUCUCUAAACCUAAUCACUAACAAAAACAUGAGAAU